rnacentral:rRNA from 1 species
UACGUAGGGUGCGAGCGUUGUCCAGAUUUAUUGGGCGUAAAGAGCUCGUAGGCGGUUUGUCGCGUCGGCCGUGAAAUCUCCACGCUUAACGUGGAGCGUGCGGUCGAUACGGGCAGACUUGAGUUCGGUAGGGGAGACUGGAAUUCCUGGUGUAGCGGUGAAAUGCGCAGAUAUCAGGAGGAACACCGGUGGCGAAGGCGGGUCUCUGGGCCGAUACUGACGCUGGAGGAGCGAAAGCGUGGGGAGCGAACAGG